GCAGUCGAGCGAUGAAGUUUCUUCGGAAAUGGAUUAGCGGCGAACGGGUGAGGAACACGUGAAGAAUCUGCCCUCCACUUUGGGAUAACACCGGGAAACCGGUGCUAAUACCGAAUAUUGAAACAUAAGUGGCAUCACUGAGUUUUGAAAGAAUUUCGGUGGAGGAUGACUUCGCGGCCUAUCAGCUAGUUGGUGAGGUAAUGGCUCACCAAGGCAACGACGGGUAGCCGGCCUGAGAGGGCGACCGGCCACACUGGGACUGAGACACGGCCCAGACUCCUACGGGAGGCAGCAGUGGGGAAUAUUGGGCAAUGGAGGAAACUCUGACCCAGCGACGCCGCGUGCGGGAUGAAGGCCUUCGGGUUGUAAACCGCUUUCAGUAGGGAAGAAGCGAAAGUGACGGUACCUACAAAAGAAGCACCGGCUAACUAUGUGCCAGCAGCCGCGGUAAUACAUAGGGUGCAAGCGUUGUCCGGAAUUAUUGGGCGUAAAGAGCUCGUAGGUCGUUUGUUACGUCGGAUGUGAAAACCUGAGGCUCAACCUCAGGCCUGCAUUCGAUACGGGCAAACUAGAGUUUGGUAGGGGAGACUGGAAUUCCUGGUGUAGCGGUGGAAUGCGCAGAUAUCAGGAGGAACACCAAUGGCGAAGGCAGGUCUCUGGGCCAAUACUGACACU
rnacentral:rRNA from 1 species